rnacentral:rRNA from 1 species
GGACUACUGGGGUUUCUAAUCCUGUUUGCUCCCCACGCUUUCGUGCAUGAGCGUCAGUAUCGACCCAGGGGGCUGCCUUCGCCAUCGGUAUUCCUCCUGAUAUCUACGCAUUUCACUGCUACACCAGGAAUUCUACCCCCCUCUGCCGUACUCAAGCCUUGCAGUCCCAAAUGCAGUUCCCAGGUUAAGCCCGGGGAUUUCACAUCUGGCUUACAAAACCGCCUGCGCACGCUUUACGCCCAGUAAUUCCGAUUAACGCUCGCACCCUACGUAUUACCGCGGCUGCUGGCAC